AUUUUCUUGGAGCCUGCGACCGAGUGGGAGUGGAGUGGAGCGGCUGUGGUUGCCGACCCUUUCCUCUUCCCCACGGUCCAGUCAGCGGGUUAAUUAGGCCAUCGGCCCUCGAGCCGAGACUUGUCUCUUAUUUAGUUCUGGGGAGCGCCUCGUCGACAUGAGUGAUGUAGAGGAGAACAACUUCGAGGGCAGAGUUAAUGUUCGUGAAGAAAUUGAAGAGUUUUUUCCAAGAAUGUGGAAGAUAAAUCAAGAUAAAAGAAGGCUAAUGAAAAGUAUUAAAGAUCAGAAAAUUAAAAUUGAAUGGGGGAAAAAAUUGAACAGAAGAUUGGUCAGAUAGAAGCACUUGAAUAUUUUUUUAAGGCUAUUUUGAAUUGUUUGAAUUGGGGAAGAAUACACGAAGUAUGAAAAAUGAAAAACUCAAUGAAGAAUGAAGAGAAGUAGAAAGCAAGAGUGAAGUAGAAUUAAAAGAAUCUGGAAGAAUGAAUGGGUCCUAGGUUAAGUAAAUGUAUGGUUUAUGUUCCAGUGUCUGUAUGAUCAAGUUGUAGAUGAAUUUGCAUGAUUACUUAGUUAAUAGAGAAUUGGUGAUCUGGUUCAAGUAGGGAAUUAUUGAGGACAGUUAGCAGUAUUAACAAUGGGUUAUUAUUGAGCUGAAAUUUUUUCUGGAGGGUGUUGCCUAACCAUUUGUUUUUCAGGAGCAAUCAAUAUAAAUAAUUACGGUACUUUAAAUGUUAGGUGUUAGGCAUCUACAUGACCAGUGCCAUUUGUAAUACUGUCUUCUUUGUUAGGAGUCUCGCUCUCAGUCAAAAUCUCCAACGGGAACUCCUGCUCGUGUAAAAUCGGAGAGCAGGUCAGGAUCUCGUAGUCCGUCAAGGGUUUCCAAACACUCUGAAUCCCAUUCUCGAUCAAGAUCAAAAUCCAGGUCGAGGUCAAGGAGACAUUCUCAUAGACGUUACACUCGAUCCAGAUCCCACUCUCACUCUCAUAGGAGACGAUCUCGAAGUAGAUCAUAUACACCAGAAUACCGGCGGCGAAGGAGCCGAAGCCAUUCUCCAAUGUCUAACCGGAGAAGACAUACUGGCAGCAGGGCAAAUCCAGAUCCCAACACUUGCCUUGGAGUGUUUGGCCUCAGUUUGUACACAACAGAGAGAGAUCUUCGUGAAGUAUUUUCUCGAUAUGGACCAUUGAGUGGUGUCAAUGUGGUUUAUGAUCAGCGAACUGGGCGAUCUCGAGGAUUUGCUUUUGUGUAUUUUGAGAGAAUAGAUGACUCAAAGGAGGCUAUGGAAAGGGCAAAUGGAAUGGAGCUGGAUGGUAGAAGAAUUCGGGUGGAUUAUUCUAUCACCAAGAGAGCGCACACACCAACACCAGGCAUCUACAUGGGCAGACCAACUCAGUAAGAGUUCAAGUUUUCUAAGCUAAACUAUGAAAUCCACCAGAAAUAUGUGCAAAAUUUUGAUUACUCAGAAACUUUUUUCCUAUAAUUAGAAUUGAUUUUGGCAAGGGGCAACAUGGCAAAACCCUGCUUCUACUAAAAAAAAAUAAAAAAUUAGCCAGGUGUGGUGGCAUAUGCCUGUAAUCCCAGCUACUCGGGAGCUGAGUCACAGGAAUCACUUGAACUUGGGAGGCAGAGGUUGCAGUGAGCCUGGGCGACAGAGU
rnacentral:sRNA from 1 species